UACGUAGGGGGCAAGCGUUGUCCGGAUUUAUUGGGCGUAAAGAGCGUGUAGGCGGUUUGGUAGGUCCGUUGUGAAAACUCGAGGCUCAACCUCGAGACGCCGAUGGAAACCAUCAGACUAGAGUCCGGAAGAGGAGAGUGGAAUUCCUGGUGUAGCGGUGAAAUGCGCAGAUAUCUGGAGGAACACCGGUGGCGAAGGCGGGUCUCUGGGCCGACACUGACGCUGAGGAGCGAAAGCGUGGGGAGCGAACAGG
rnacentral:rRNA from 1 species